GACCCCAUCGUCUAGCCCGGCCUAGGACACCGCCCUUUCACGGCGUCAACGAGGGUUCGAAUCCCCCUGGGGUCG
rnacentral:tRNA from 1 species